UGUAACACUAAACUCCCUAGCCACUUCUCUUAAAAGGACGGCUUGAAUACCUCGAGGUGAUCUCUGCUGCCGCCAGGACAGUUUAUCGGGGCCUGAUGCGGGGCUUGGGGUUCUGAUGGUGCUUGGUCUGUGUUUCAUCUCCCUCUAAGACUCGGGGAAGGCGCUCGGGCAAGGCGGGUCCUUAAACUUUCUUCUGGGACAGUGAGGAUAUGUGUGGGUCUCCUCAUCAGACUGGGGCUCCCCGAGGGGCAACUUUCUCCUUAAAGCAGGACACCAUUUGCCCCUGUGACGUGGAUCUCCCUAGGCAUAGGAGAAAGUUCAUGCUCCGUUUGUGUAGGAUAGAAAAGGUGGGACAAAGAUCCGAUAUCUCCUCUUCAGAAAGAGGCAUGUGACCCUCCAUUCAGAUGGGGAACUCCUUGGGGUCAUAUCAUUCAUGUUAAACAUUUGCGAACCUUAAAGCCCAUGUAAACGUCAUUUUCACCCAUACCGUGUGGAACGAGAGAGGACGUAGGUUCAAAUCCUGUCUCUGAUGUGCACUGACACUGUGGCCUUGGGCAAGUUACCUAGCCUCCCUGGGACUCAGUAAAGGCCUCUGACGUGCCUUUUAAUUAGAUUUAUGAUUUUCUGAUGCCAGGUCAGGUCAAGGACUCCCCAGCGCAAGAACUAAUCAACAAAGCAUUUAUUAAGCUCCUACUAUGUGCCAAGCACUGUAUCUGGGCGGAUCCAAAUAUAAAGGUAAGAUAGUCCCUGCCCCCAAGGAGCUUACAUUCUAUUGGGGAGCUUCCUGAGGGCAGGAACUAUGACUCCCCUUAAGAUCCCCUGGAAGUUCCUCUAGGGCAAGUCACCAUAUCCCUCAUCAAACCUGGGGUUCCUAGAGGUCAGGGUCUAUGUCUGUGUCUCUCCCAACAGACUAAAAUGCACUUCGAAGACUACCCAGAGGUCAUCAGCAAUACAAUCCAGGGGAAAGAACACUGAAUUUUCCCAUCCAAUUUAGAAUUAUGGGACCUGAAUUCAAAUUCAGCUUUAUCAUUUAAGUCCUGUGUGACUAUGGGUAAAUCUCUUAGCCUUUCUGUGCCUCAUCCUUCUUCAUCUGUAAAAUGAGACAGCUAGACUAACCGGCUUCUAAGGCCCCUCUCAACUCUGGGUUUAUGCUCCUAUGAGCCUGCAAGCAUAGGGAACACAAAGAAAUAUGGACAGACCUUUAUCAAACAAUGCAAAGCAAAAGCCAAAACAAACAAACAAAUGAAACCGAAAAGGACAUGUCAACAAGACCCAUGAAAGAAGGAGGAAUGGAAACAGCCAAAGAAUCUGAAUGAAAACUCAGGGUCCAGAAAUCCGGAGUGAGAAGAUACCUCAGAGGCCAAGAGUCCAGACCCUUCAUUUUACAAAUGAGAAAACUGAGUCCCAGAAUGGUGAAGGAUUGCUGAAAUGGUAGCAGUGGAGAAGACUGCUCCCACUGCACAUGCUGAGUCACACAAGGCCUGGGCUUUUCAUCUGUGGAGACAGCACUGACAUCAAGGAAAUCCUGGAUCCAUGAUGUAUGAAAGCGGGCUGGGAGCUGGUGUCCCACCAGAUUGAAGAACCUGCGUGUGCAGGGGAAGGAGGGCCUGGUGUGCUUAAGUGUCAGAGCCCAUAGGAGGCAGCAUAAGCUUCCAUGGAAAGAGUCCCAGAUUCAUCCUUCUAGCUCUCCCCUCAAAAUGGCUAGAUAAUCUUGGCCAAGACACUUAAUCCCCAGUCCUCUCCCUGUUAGAUCCAAAAUAAAAGAAACAUAUUGUAGAAUGAUGUUAGAGCCGAGAAUGUCAGAGAUGGGAGGGGCCUUAGAAUACAGAAGAACGUGGAGCACAAAAUACCAGGAAAGGAUGGCUUAGAACAUAAAAUGUCAAAGGUGAGACUGUGUUUAGAACUGAACAUCAGAGCUGGGAGGGCCCUUAGAACAUAGUAAUAUGUUUAGUUUAGCACUUUAAGGCUUUAUGAAGUCCUUUCCCUUCCCAACAAACUGGUGAGAUAGGCAGCACUUGUCACUAUGUUUAAACUCUCAGGGCUCAGGGGCUAAGUGAUUUA